AACGAACGCUGGCGGCAGGCUUAACACAUGCAAGUCGAACGCAUCCUUCGGGGUGAGUGGCAGACGGGUGAGUAACGCGUGGGAACGUGCCCUUCAGUUCGGGAUAACCCAGGGAAACUUGGGCUAAUACCGGAUACGUGCGAGAGCAGAAAGAUUUAUCGCUGAAGGAUCGGCCCGCGUCUGAUUAGCUAGUUGGUGGGGUAAUGGCCCACCAAGGCGACGAUCAGUAGCUGGUCUGAGAGGAUGAUCAGCCACAUUGGGACUGAGACACGGCCCAAACUCCUACGGGAGGCAGCAGUGGGGAAUAUUGGACAAUGUGCGCAGGCCUGAUCCAGCCAUGCCGCGUGAGUGAUGAAGGCCUUAGGGUUGUAAAGCUCUUUCGUCCGGGACGAUAAUGGCGGUACCGGAAGAAGAAGCCCCGGCUAACUUCGUGCCAGCAGCCGCCGUAA
rnacentral:rRNA from 1 species